rnacentral:rRNA from 1 species
CCUACGGGUGGCAGCAGUGAGGAAUAUUGGUCAAUGGGCGCGAGCCUGAACCAGCCAAGUAGCGUGAAGGAUGACUGCCCUACGGGUUGUAAACUUCUUUUAUAAAGGAAUAAAGUGAGUCACGUGUGCCGUUUUGUAUGUACUUUAUAAAUAAGGACCGGCUAACUCCGUGCCAGCAGCCGCGGUAAUACGGAGGGUCCGAGCGUUAUCCGGAUUUAUUGGGUUUAAAGGGAGCGUAGAUGGGUUGUUAAGGCAGUGGUGAAAGUUUGCGGCUAAACCGUAACAUUGCAAUUGAAACUGGCAGCUUUGAGUAGAGUUAAGGUAGGGGGAAUUGGUGGUGUGGCGGUGAAAGGCUUGGA